rnacentral:rRNA from 1 species
CUUACCAGGUCAAGACAUGGGCGUGAUGGACAGGUUAAUGACUUUUCUUGAUUCCAUGGAUGGUGGUGCAUGGUCGCACUUAGUUGGUGCAGUGAUUUGUCAGGUUUAUUUCGGUAACGAACGAGACCUCGGCUUUGUAAAUAGGUAUGCUGAUUACAGGGACAUUGGCGGAUACGCCAAGGAAGCUCGAGGCAAUUGCAGAUUUGGAAUGCCCUUAGAUGUCGUGGGUCGCACGCGUGGUACAAUGACGCCACGAAUGAGCUUGCGUGAUGAAAGUUACGCAUAAUCAGCAGUCGGCGUCUUAAGGGAUAGUCUUUUGUAACUGUGGGACUCCAACUAGGAAUGUCUCGUAAGCACAAGUCAACAUCUUGUGUUGAUUACGUCCCUGCUCUUUGUACACACCGCCCGUCGCUCCUACCGAUCGAGUGUUUAGGUGAAUUUGAUGGACGUAAGGAAGUCAAAUAAACCUGAGCACUAGAGGAAGAGAAGUCUACAAUUGC